GAAGGUGGGACGAAUGAUUGGGGUGAAGUCGUAACAAGGUAGCCGUAUCGGAAGGUGCGGCUGGAUCACCUCCUUUCUAAGGA
rnacentral:rRNA from 1 species